rnacentral:rRNA from 1 species
UACGAAGGGGGCGAGCGUUGUUCGGCAUCACUGGGCGUAAAGGGCGUGUAGGCGGUUUUAUAAGUUAGAUGGGAAAGCCCUGGGCUUAACCCAGGAAUAGCAUCUAAUACUGUAAAGCUAGAGUAUGGUAGAGGUUAGUGGAAUUUCUGGUGGAGAGGUGAAAUUCGUAGAGAUCAGGAGGAACACCAGCGGCGAAAGCGGCUAACUGGGCCAAUACUGACGCUGAGGCGCGAAAGCGUGGGGAGCAAACAGG